rnacentral:rRNA from 1 species
CGGCGAACGGGUGCGUAACACGUAUGCAACCUACCUAUAACUGGGGGAUAGCCCGAAGAAAUUCGGAUUAAUACCCUAUAAUAUUUACUACUCGCAUGAGAUGGUAUCUUAAAACUCCGGUGGUUAUAGAUGGGCAUGCGGCCUAUUAGUUUGUUGGUGAGGUAACGGCUCACCAAGACUACGAUAGGUAGGGGUUCUGAGAGGAUGAUCCCCCACACUGGUACUGAGACACGGACCAGACUCC